rnacentral:tRNA from 2 species
UCCGCGGUAGCUCAGUGGUAGAGCGGUCGCCUGUUAAGCGAUUGGUCGUAGGUUCGAAUCCUACCCGCGGAGCCA